rnacentral:rRNA from 1 species
GAUGAACGCUGGCGGCGUGCCUAAUACAUGCAAGUCGAGCGAACAGACGAGGAGCUUGCUCCUCUGACGUUAGCGGCGGACGGGUGAGUAACACGUGGAUAACCUACCUAUAAGACUGGGAUAACUUCGGGAAACCGGAGCUAAUACCGGAUAAUAUAUUGAACCGCAUGGUUCAAUAGUGAAAGACGGUUUUGCUGUCACUUAUAGAUGGAUCCGCGCCGCAUUAGCUAGUUGGUAAGGUAACGGCUUACCAAGGCAACGAUGCGUAGCCGACCUGAGAGGGUGGUAGGCCACACUGGAACGGAGACACGGUCCAGACUCCUACGGUAGGCAGCAGUAGGGAAUCUUCCGCAAUGGGCGAAGGCCUGACGGAGCAACGCCGCGUGAGUGAUGAUGGUCUUCGGAUCGUAAAACUCUGUUAUUAGGGAAGAACAAAUGUGUAAGUAACUAUGCACGUCUUGACGGUACCUAAUCAGAAAGCCACGGCUAACUACGUG